ensembl:lncRNA
UUCUCUCGAGUCAGUUCAUGUUUAUUGUUUUUUGAAAGUUCUUACACAUUCCGUAACUGCAUGCUAGAAAAUCCCAUGGUAGGUAUGUCACUCAUUCAGCUUCACUUGAAAUGCAGAAGGCUUUGACGAAACAACGCAUCUCUUCCCACGAGACGUCAAACUUCAUACGAUUUUAGUUGCUGAAUUGCUUUGAUAAUAUUUUGCUGUGGAGACAGGGUUCACAUGGAUCGGUUUGUCUGGAGCUGCACAAAGAAAGGAUAUAAAUGAGGUGGAUUCAUGACUUUAUUAUCUCUAGCUUCUCGUGUGGCGUUCCGACGCUGAUCCGAGCGCUCGGUCCUUGUGUCCACCUGCUCAGUGGGUGUGGCUGCGGCAGCCCGGCUGCUGCAGGUAGGCGCCGCGGUGUGUGUGGGACCUGUGGCUCUCGCUCUGCUGGCGGGCGCAGUUCUGCCGCUGGAGACUGCUCCGCGUCAGCUGGCGGCGCUUCUCCCCGGCCUGAGCCCUCUGGACCCGAGAGGCGUGUGUGACCUUGGCCAGCGCGGCGGCCCGGGACGCCACGUUCUGGAGGACCCCCGCGAUCAGAGCGCUGCGGUCCACCAGAACCUCCGGCUCUGACAGCCUAGGAGGAAACGUACCCAGGGUCAGGGUGUUCACUCAGAGCAGGCGUCAACACAGCACCUUGAAUCUGGUCCUCCUCUCCUGAACACCCCCUCGCUGACAGCUUCUGUGGAGACAUGGGGCAUAACAUCACCGCCGC